UAAUGCCAAUAAUGCGUUCAGUCAUUCUACAAUGCGGCAUAUAUAAGAACGCCUAGGCGUCCCGUGCACUCCUCCGAUAAAGCACGCCUGCAACUGUCAACGCUGCCGUCAUGAGAAACACACUUUCGUUCAUAAUAUUCGCCACUAUGAUCGCCGUUGCCAUGGCUAUGAGAUUAUAUGGACUAAAUGGAGGCUAUGGGAGUGGCCAUUUUGGAUAUCGAAGAGGGGGAAGUUACCUCAGGGGUAACGGAAAAGGUUACGGUGGACAAUAUGGUGGAAACUAUGGUACAACCUCCGGUGAAGACACAGAAGUCUAUAUACUACCAGACAGCGGAGACUACGCUGGUGACUACAGCCAAGGUUAUGACGGAAAGCGAGCCAGCUACAGUCGACAAAACAGGUUCAGAAGAAGCAGCAACAUCGUACUUAUAUGCGGUCUGCUGCGGCUGUGUUAACAAGUCCUCUGUGGAACAAGUCUUGCAAGCUGCUGACUUUUCGUGCUCAGAAUGAAGCGUGCGGUGGCUAUGAUUGUGAUCACUCUUAUUCUUGGCUUGGCGCUCGGCCAUGGUCAUCAUGGCAAGAAGGCUAGCCAUGUGGUGCUGGUUCGCCGUCCCGUUUACCAGCAGGCGCCUUGCUAUGAUCAUUACGGCCAUGGCGCACAACACGGUGGCUUUCUCAAGAAACACGGCCAUCAUGGAGGACAUGGCCACCAUGGAGCACAGCACUACGCGCCAUACGCAUACUAAGCAGACACGCAGCGCAUCGUCCGCGCGCCUCCGCUUGACAUGUGCAAUGGAGAGUCAAGCGCGCAUGACAAAUAAAAUUGAGCUUGCAAGCAGUCA